UCCCGAUAUUUACACAAUUUCUAUUCCUUACAGAAAAUUCAAAUGCUAUACUAUCUAGUUCAGAACUGGCUACCCACAAUUCUAUUGGCCACUUGCCAAGUCCUGUCAAUGUUGCUGCUUAAGUAUUUCUCAGUUCUGUUCUAUUUUUUAACCAAAAAUUCCACAUGUUAGUUCAUCUCCUUGUCACUUUCCACCUAGUUACUAAGAUAGUGGACACUUGCUGUUUCUGUCCAUACACAAUCUCUUUUCACUUUCUGCUUAUAGUUUGCUCACCUCCCUUUGGUAACAGAGCCUCACUCACAAUUUUUCUAGGUGAUUGGGGCUUGCCUAUCAAAGUCCUCUGUCCCCACGGCCAUGGAACUGAGCACCCAGUCUUGGCCAACUAAUGUUCUGUCUUCCUUCUAUAAUGCUUGGUGAAAGGAGCAAAGGAUCCAGUCAGGCCAUCAGAGAUUGCCUGUGGAGUUUUCUGAAUGUCUCUUCAUUAGUUUUUCUCCCAAGCUCAAAAGACAUGAUCCUGAGAGUGUCAAGUUCCUCAGAACCUAACAAGGUGAAUUCAAGGCACAGGUAGAUGUCAGAGGAGAUGAAGUGAGUCUGGAUGGCAUGCUUUGAGGCUAUUUAUUUAAUCUAGUGUAAAUCCACUUUCAACCAGUAUCCUAGGUUGAUUAGACUCUUACUUCCAUUCAUUUUCUAUUUUUUUCAUUCAAAUAGCUCUAAUACUGGAUUAAACUUUCUCUUAAAGCUCCAAGGUCUUUUUUUCUUUUUCUUUUCUGGACUUCAUUCUUUAAUGCAUGUUGAACAGAAUCAUUGCCUUUAUCUGCAAACAUCUCUGCAAAUUACCCCUCCUCAUAUCUUGUCAAUCCUUCCACCCCUAACACACUUAUUCAUAAGGAUACCCUAUGAUGACUCAUAAGGAUAACACACUCAUAAGGAUGUCGUCAUGUAUGAGUCCUUGGCCAUCAGUAAUUAACAUCUCUACAACUUAUAGUUCAGUUUCUCUGUUCCAAUGCAGAUAAGAGAAGGCUUUCAUAUUUUUGGUUGUAUUUAUCUCACAUGAAUAAAACUCACUAACAUUUUUUAACAUUGGAAAUAUGGAGUAAAUAACAGUUUUGUAAAAAGAAAAGAUGCUUUGUAUUUGCAUUUGUUUUAUAUUAAUAAAGAUUGUAGUUCAUCAUCAUGCUCUGUAAAAAUAAUCUGCAUCUUGUACACAGAGAGAAAUACUUUUUUUUAUCUCGGGGGAUGUGUUUCCAGUGCCAAUAAAGAAGCCUAGACUAACAAGCAAAAUGGAGUCUUCGCUCGAUUUGAGGUUUUGUUGGCUUCCAGAACUAGAGCUUCUUCAUCCAUCAGAGAGUAUAGUUAGUUCAUCACAUGUAACCCUCUAUUUAAUUAGACAAGCUCUUUAAGCAAAUUUCUUCUUCUUCUUUUUUUUUUUUGUCUUUUUGCCUUUUCUAGGGCCACUUUCCACAGCAUAUGGAGGUUCCCAGGCUAGGGGUCUAAUCGGAGCUGUAGCCACCGGCCUACGCCAGAGCUACAGCAACUCGAGAUCCAAGCCGCAUCUGCAACCUACACCACAACUCAUGGCAAUGCCGGAUCCUUAACCCACUGAGCAAGGCCAGGGAUCGAACCCGAAACCUCAUGGUUCCUAGUCGUAUAUCGUUAACCACUGCGCCACGACGGGAACUCCUGUAGAUGUUUUUCAAGGAGCGUGGACCCUCCAGGAACUACUCCUGAAUUAGCACACUGCCUUUUCCCUGCCAACCUGUUCAAAGGCAGGUUCUUGGUUUUUAGUUCCCCUGAGUAGUGAGAUUUCUCCAUUAAGAUACACAGGUCGUCCCCAUACUGCCUGUGCACCCACUCCCUCAGGUUUUACACUUAGAUUCCUGCCUCUAUCUGUCUCCCCACUAACCAAUAGACAUUUGCAUAUUAGUUCUGCCAUUUGGCUUCUGAGUCUGGCAAAGUUUCUCUUACAGCCAGUAACAGAUUCUUCACUAAACGUGACACUUGCAUUCCUACAAGUUCUCGCGUGAUGAUGAUGGUUCAGAACCACCCUUUGGGAAUUAGUGAUCUAGAAAAAUAUAUGACUUUUUUAAGAAAUUUUUUUUACAUUUGACUUUUUUUCAGGGGAGUAGUUGUUUUAAAAAUGACUUCUAUUUUUAAAAAAAACUCUGUUUAUCUUGAAAUAAUUUCAAUUUUUCUAACAGUUGUAGUAAAAUACACAGAGUUCCAGUGUACUUUUUACCCAGAUUCCCAAUUGCUCACAUUUCUGAACCAUUUGAGAACACUCCUGUAUAUAACCAACUCCUGCCUGUACCUGCCUAGCAUCAGAAUUGCUAAACUGUUAUCAGCAUGGCUAUUAACUCCUCUGUUUGCCUUUCUUUUUAAAAAACCUACUGUUUUAGCUUUUGUUUUAAAAUUUGGAAAGUUAUUAAAACAUUUCAAUUUCAAAAUCUUAAGACCUCCUUUUGAGGAAGAAGUGUCCUACUUUCAUCCAAUGUUGAAGAAGUUCAAAAGAUUAGAAUCCCUAGAAACCAGAAUUGGUGAGCUUGAAACCAUUGGCAGAGCCACGCCUACAAUAUUAAGUGUGCAUUUGCAUGGUACCUUCUGCUAGCAAAGUGCUCUAGCUUCAGUUUUCUUAACAAUUUAUUUUAACAGCUACAUGAAUAUAUAGGGAACUUGGGUCUGUUAAUGAAGGAUGUUAUUGAAUUUCUUUAAAGAAAAUUCUUUAAAGAAAGAGAAAAUCUGUCCCAUGUUGAGAUGGAUUUGACUUUUCUUUCUUGAAUCUAAGAAGUGUCUUUAAAUAUUGUUUUAUAGAUAGAUUUAAACAAUUAGUCAACAAGCUUUAUUAAUCUACAAAAUGGUCCACAGUCUUUCUCUCACUUAAUAGUGUCAGGAGCUAAUUUUAGUGAAUAUCAUAGGCUUUAAGAAGUCAGGUAUAGUUGCCAGGGGCAAUAGUUUUAAUUUUUAUGAAACAUUUUCCAGGGUCAUGAUUUAUUCUAGGCAUGGUCUAAUUUCUUUCAAGCCUUAGGCACAAGUGUCUAUGAUAAUUUGCAAGACUUGGUGAAAUAACCUGGAAUUUUUCACAUGUCAGUGUAGGAUUACUGCUUCUGAUCUUGCAGACAGAAAAGUCAAAGGCAUAAUAAAAUGAAAAAUUGGACCACAAGCUGGUAGAAUAGCUAAAUUAGAUCUCAAUCACUUAACUCACUAUCAAGUUAGAAAAUCUCUCUCUGGUUAACUUCUUUUUCAGUCUGAUUCCCAUCCCAAGACAUGAGUCUCUUCAUCUAUUCCAAGCAAAAAGCUUCAUUUACUUCAAAGGUGUUCCUACACAGAGGAAAGAGAAGGGGAACCUGGCCUGAUAGUUAUUCUGCCUUGACAUUUUUAAGGAUGUUUAUUGAAUAUUAAUAAUGUGAGCUUGGUUAAUCCUUGACCUAGUAUUUAAAAUUAUAUAGCUGUGUGCUACAAACUUGACAGGAAAUACCACUAGCCAAGAGGGUCUACUUAAUGGCUUUUUUUUUUUUUUCUUCUUUUCAGGGCCUCACCCACAGCAUAUGUAGGUUCCCAGACUAGCGCUCGAAUCGGAGCUGUAUCUUCCGGCCUAUGCCACAGCCACAGCAAUGUAGGAUCCCAGCCACAAGGGCGUCUGUGACCUACAACCACAGCUCAUGGCAACUUGGGAUCCUUAACCCACUGAGCAAGGCCAGGGAUUGAACCUGCAACCUCAUGAUUCCCCCAAUGGCCUUUACGUUAUUUUCCUGUUUGUUUGUUUGUUUGUUCAUGCCUGCUGUAUGCAGAAGUUCCUGCAUCAGGGAUGGAACCUGCACCAUAGCAGCAACCCGAGCUACAGCAGUGGCAAUGCCAGAUCCUUAACCCACUGUGCCAAAAGAGAACUCCACAUCUAAUGGCCUUUAAAGCCAAACGAUUUUGCAUGGUAAUCUCCCCAAUACUGACUUGAGACUCUGUGCUGUGGGGUAUCCGCCAUCUGGUUUUAAUAACUCCUCUUCUUUCCUAGUUCUCUCCUAAUCCAUCUGAGAUGCUGACCAAUUUGUGAGUAUUCUCCAGGUGAACUUUAAUGUUGAAUUUUAAUGUUUAAUGAACUGAUUUUAAUGUUGAUCCUAGUGACAUCAUCUGAAAGAUAAAACUACCACUGCUCCCCACAGUCUCCUCAGACUAUUUCAAGUAUUUUAAACUGAAAUACAAAUGACAUCCAUUUUUACUUCCAUAAACUUAUUUCUAUCCUUACUUCCUUCUAUCAUUGCCAGUUACCCCAGACUGGAGGUUACUUUGGGUUUCUGUGCAUUCAUGUUGCCCUUUCGUCCCAGUGUGCUCUAAGUAAAUUGCAACAAAUCAGCACUCUGGGAGUUCCUGUUGUGUUGCAGCGGGUUAAGAAUCUGACCAAUAUUCAUGAGGACUCAGGUUUGAUCUUUGGCCUUGCUCAGUGGGUUAAAGGAUCUGGCGCUUCCAUGAACUGUGGUGUAGGUUGCAGACACAGCUCGGAUCUGGCAUUUCUGUGGCUGUGACUGUGGCUGAUAGCUGCAGCUCUAUUGGACCUCUAGCCUGGGAACUUCCAUAUGCCAUAGGAUAUAGAGAUACUAAGGCAAGGCAAGAAGAAUUCCCACUGAAAAGAGAUAAAUUUAAUUUCUACAUAGUAAGAAGAAGAUCUCUAUUUAGGAAAAUCUGUUAGCCUCCCUUAUUAUCCCCUACCAUUCCAAAUAAAGAUGAAUAAGGAAUAAUGCUGUGCUCCAUGAGACUCACAAAAGCACUGGGUGGUUGGGGCUUGCCCAAUAAAAUCCAAUUUAGUGCUCAGUUGAAGGGAGACUUGUAGAGUAAAACUGGCAUUUUAGGACUGCCAUGCUAAUUCAAUCUGUUCUUCUACUGCUUUGACUGCUGCCAUCCUGCUGUGUUUUUCCUCCAGGCUGUGCAAAUAAAGACCUUUAAGAGGAAAUCAUAAAUAGUUGAUUUAAUUAAGACCAUUACCAGCACCACUUCUUGCCUCAUUUCUCCAAGUGCCAAGGUAUAGAUUAUAGUUGAACAAUGGUGAUGCAGUAAAUACAUACGGAUAAAAUGCAAUUCUUUUAUGGUUUGUAAAAAAAUACAGCAACACAACAAGAUGCCCUGUAGCAAUUAAACAUUUCCUAGUCAGCAGUUUCUUUUGGAGUUGAGAUCUUCAGGGAUAGAGGAUAGGGGGAUGUAUUCAAUCCUUUUUGGCUUCAGUCAAAAAAGAAAAAACAAAAAAAACAAAAA
rnacentral:lncRNA from 1 species